rnacentral:rRNA from 1 species
UAGUGAGUUUGAUCCUGGCUCAGAACGAACGCUGGCGGCAGGCCUAACACAUGCAAGUCGAGCGCCCCGCAAGGGGAGCGGCGGACGGGUGAGUAACGCGUGGGAACGUGCCCUGAGGUUCGGAAUAGCCCUGGGAAACUGGGAGUAAUACCGUAUAGUCCUCUCUGGAAGGAAAGAUUUAUCGCCUUGGGAUCGGCCCGCGUUGGAUUAGGUAGUUGGUGGGGUAACGGCCUACCAAGCCGACGAUCCAUAGCUGGUUUGAGAGGAUGAUCGAGCCACACU